AACCAAGAAGAUCAAAUUAUAUAUCUACGGUGAAAAAAUAGUUAAAUUUUAAUAAGUUUAUUGAAUAUUUAUACAAGAGUAAAAUCUAAAUAUAAAUAGAAAAUUCUAAUUAAGCUUAAAUAUUGAAGCUAUGAAAACCUUGAGGGAAACUGGGAUUAGAUACCCCAUUAUUCUUGGAUGUAAAAUAAUCAUAAUUUACCAGAGUACUAUGAACUAACAAUUUAAAACUUAAAGGGCUUGGCGGUGUUUUAGACCUCUUAGGGGAACCUGUCUCAUAAUCGACAGUCCACGCUAAACCUGACCUUUUUUUGUACUCAAUUUGUAUACCGUCGUCGUCAGGUAACUUUUUAGAAAAUAGAAGUUAGCAACUAAAUAAUAAUAAAUUCGUACGUCAGAUCAAGGUGCAGUUAAUAAAAAGGAGAGGAUGGGUUACAAUUAUAUAAUUAUAAUUACGAAAAUCUUUUUGAAAUAAAAUUAUGAAGGAGGACUUGAAAGUAAGAUAAAACAUAUAAACAUUCUGAAUCAGGCUCUGAAACGUGC
rnacentral:rRNA from 1 species